CCAAUAGCGUAUAUUAAAGUUGUUGCAGUUAAAAAGCUCGUAGUUGAACUUCGGGGUUUACCCAUUGGUCAGGCUUAAUUGUCUGCACUGGUGAGAUGAAUCUCUACCUUCUGAGGAACUUUCAUGCCAUUUAUUUGGUGUGAUGGGAAAUCAGGACUGUUACUUUGAAAAAAUUAGAGUGUUUAAAGCAGGCUAACGUCUGAAUACAUUAGCAUGGAAUAAUGAAAUAGGACGGACUGAUUCUAUUUCGUUGGUUUCUAGGAUCACCGUAAUGAUUAAUAGGGUUAGUUGGGGGCAUUAGUAUUCAAUUGUCAGAGGUGAAAUUCUUGGAUUUAUUGAAGACUAACUACUGCGAAAGCAUUUGCCAAGGAUGUUUUCAUUAAUCAAGAACGAAAGUUAGGGGAUCGAAGACGAUCAGAUACCGUCGUAGUCUUAACCAUAAACUAUGCCGACUAGGGAUCGGACGAAGUUAAUUUUAUAAUGACGCGUUCGGCACCUUACG
rnacentral:rRNA from 1 species